rnacentral:lncRNA from 1 species
AUAAACACACCAAGGAUUCAAAAGUAGUUGACCCUUUUAGCAGUAACAAAAUCUAAAGGAUCGAAUACAUGGAGAUCAGCAAUUCUAAUAAUAACACUAUUACAAUUCCAAUGCAGAACUUAGAAGACAUAACUUCUUAUUAAACAUGCUGAGCUAAAGGAAUUAACAUAAUCAUUUGAGAAGUAAACUAAAUAAGAAGAAAAUCUAACAUAUAACAAAGGAGAACAUGAUCUUCAUAUAUCUCCAUCACAAACACUUCACAAGUUAUUUUUACAUGCCUAAAGUCAAAAGUGUAUAUCUGGAGAGUAAAACAAAGAAGAAAAAAUGAGAGAUCAGUGGAGUAAAAAUAGCAAUAAACACCAGCAAUAACAUAGGCUCAGAUAUAGAAAAUUGAACUCGCACAUCAGUUAUAAAUCCAAUAGAACAAUGAUUUCAACAUCGCUUGAUCCACAACUUUCCAAAAGUCAACAUCAAACCAUUUUCAAUCUACGUGGGUCAGAAAACUGUUUUGAGAAAUUCAAAGAGAUCUCAAAGUUCAAGGCAAAACUUAAUGAAACGGUAAUUUUUUGAUAUUUUCAGCCGUUUGAAGUUUUUCUUUAUUUUUU